rnacentral:lncRNA from 1 species
ACCUACAUCACCAUCAUCGCCAGAGUACUCUCGUGCAGCGCCUGUAAGCGGCCAUGUCGCUACAUGUACACGGUACGGCUGCAGGCUCACACACACACAUACACCCACACACCCACCCACACCCACACCCACACACACCCACCCACACACACACACACACACACACACACACACACACACACACACACUGCAGCAGCCUGACCUGCCCGCGCCGCUCACACCCCCUCCUGCCCUAGACCUACAUCCACUGCUGCUCCCCGGCUUGGCUCACGUCACCCUAGGCAAAACGCACCGGCAUCCCUGCUAUUUCCCCAUCUGCACCCGCACCCGCACCCAACCCUCUGCCCCCGGCCCCUCAGGGUGAGGCCCCCGCCGCCGUGAGGGCCUCCACCGCGUCGUCCCUGCAGUCGAAGUAGGCCUGGUACAGCUCGCCCGCCACGUCCAGGGUGGCGGUCCAUCGGUUGUUGCGCGCCAGAGCCACGCCCACACCCACACCGGGGCUGCUGCCGCCAGUGCCGGCGCCGGUGCUGGCAUGUCCGCCGCUGGUGCCGUUGGCUGGCAGCACCACCGCC